UUUCUCUUUCCCCCUGCCU
rnacentral:piRNA from 1 species